rnacentral:rRNA from 1 species
CGGGACACGUGGUAUCCUGUCUGAAUAUGGGGGGACCAUCCUCCAAGGCUAAAUACUCCUGACUGACCGAUAGUGAACCAGUACCGUGAGGGAAAGGCGAAAAGAACCCCGGCGAGGGGAGUGAAAAAGAACCUGAAACCGUGUACGUACAAGCAGUGGGAGCACGCUUAGGCGUGUGACUGCGUACCUUUUGUAUAAUGGGUCAGCGACUUAUAUUCUGUAGCAAGGUUAACCGAAUAGGGGAGCCGAAGGGAAACCGAGUCUUAACUGGGCGUUAAGUUGCAGGGUAUAGACCCGAAACCCGGUGAUCUAGCCAUGGGCAGGUUGAAGGUUGGGUAACACUAACUGGAGGACCGAACCGACUAAUGUUGAAAAAUUAGCGGAUGACUUGUGGCUGGGGGUGAAAGGCCAAUCAAACCGGGAGAUAGCUGGUUCUCCCCGAAAGCUAUUUAGGUAGCGCCUCGUGAAUUCAUCUCCGGGGGUAGAGCACUGUUUCGGCAAGGGGGUCAUCCCGACUUACCAACCCGAUGCAAACUGCGAAUACCGGAGAAUGUUAUCACGGGAGACACACGGCGGGUGCUAACGUCCGUCGUGAAGAGGGAAACAACCCAGACCGCCAGCUAAGGUCCCAAAGUCAUGGUUAAGUGGGAAACGAUGUGGGAAGGCCCAGACAGCCAGGAUGUUGGCUUAGAAGCAGCCAUCAUUUAAAGAAAGCGUAAUAGCUCACUGGUCGAGUCGGCCUGCGCGGAAGAUGUAACG